UACGUAGGGUGCGAGCGUUAUUCGGAAUUACUGGGCGUAAAGCGUGCGCAGGCGGUUGUGCAAGACAGAGGUGAAAUCCCCGGGCUUAACUUGGGAACUGCCUUUGUGACUGCACGGCUAGAGUGUGUCAGAGGGGGGUAGAAUUCCACGUGUAGCAGUGAAAUGCGUAGAUAUGUGGAGGAAUACCGAUGGCGAAGGCAGCCCCCUGGGAUAACACUGACGCUCAUGCACGAAAGCGUGGGGAGCAAACAGG
rnacentral:rRNA from 1 species